rnacentral:rRNA from 1 species
AACGAACGCUGGCGGCAUGCCUAACACAUGCAAGUCGAACGAGACCUUCGGGUCUAGUGGCGCACGGGUGCGUAACGCGUGGGAACCUGCCCUUAGGUUCGGAAUAACUCCCCGAAAGGGGUGCUAAUACCGGAUAAUGUCUUCGGACCAAAGAUUUAUCGCCUUUGGAUGGGCCCGCGUUGGAUUAGCUAGUUGGUAGGGUAAAAGCCUACCAAGGCGACGAUCCAUAGCUGGUCUGAGAGGAUGAUCAGCCACACUGGGACUGAGACACGGCCCAGACUCCUGCGGGAGGCAGCAGUGGGGAAUAUUGGACAAUGGGCGAAAGCCUGAUGCAGCAAGGCCGCGUGAGUGAUGAAGGCCUUAGGGUUGUAAAGCUCUUUUACCCGGGAUGAUAAUGACAGUACCGGGAGAAUAAGCUCCGGCUAACUCCGUG